rnacentral:rRNA from 1 species
UCUGGUUGAUCCUGCCAGUAGUCAUGCUUGUCUCAGAGAUCAAGCCGUGCGUGUCUAAGUACAUAACUUUAAACGGUGAAACCGCAAAUGGCUCAUUAAAUCAGCUAUGAUUCUUUGGAUCUUACAUACUACAUGGAUAACUGUAGUAACUCCAGAGAUAAUACGUGCCACUAUGCCCUGACCCGCGAGGGAACGGGUGGAUUUAUUAGAACAAAACCAACCAAGGGUGGCUUCGGUCGCCCCUGUUGCAUUCCGUGAUGACUCUGGAUAACUUCACCGAUCGCAGUCGGGCUUGUGUCGGCGACGGAUCUUUCAAAUGCUUGCUCUAUCAAUUUUCGAUGGUAGGUGACCUGCCUACCAUGGUGCUAACGGGUAACGGGGAAUCAGGGUUCGAUUCCGGAGAGGGAGCCUGAGAAACGGCUACCACUUCCAAGGAAGGCAGCAGGCACGCAAAUUACCCAAUCCCGGCACGGGGAGGUAAUGACGAAAAAUACAGAUACGGGACUCACUAGAGGCUCCGUAAUUUGAAUGAGUACGAUUUGAAUCCUUUAACGAGGAUCAACUGGAGUACAAGUCUGAAGCCAGCAGCCGCGGCAACUCAAGCUCCAGAAGAGUAUAUGGAAAUUGUUGCAGUUGAAAAGCUCGUAGUUGGAUCUGGGUCGCAUGGCUACGUGCCGUCGCUCGUGGGUCUGGCCUGACUACUGCCGGGUUGAGCUUGCGAGUCGGUCUCGUGGUUGUGCUUUUUCUGCUGUGCCUGUUUGCAGGCAUCAGCGUCACCGGUGGGCUCGCCUGCUAGUCUGUUGGCGUGUUUCUUGGUGCCUUUAAUCAGGUUUCGGAGGCGGACAGCACGUUUACUUUGAACAAAUUUGAGUGCUCAAAGCAGGCCUUUGUGCCUGAAAAUUCUUGCAUGGAAUAAUGGAAUAGAACUUCGGUUCCAUUUUUUGGUUUCCGGAUCCGAAGCAGCGAUUAAGAGGGACAGGCGGGGGCAUUUGUAUGGUGGUGUUAGAGGUGAAACUCAUGGACCGCUGCCAGACAAAAUACAGCGAAAGCUUUUGUCAAGGAUGUUUAUUGAACUUCAGCGAAAGUCAGAGGUUCAAAGACGAUCAGAUGUCGUCCCAGUUCUGAACACAAACGAUGCCAACUGACGAUCUGUGAGGGUUCCUCAUGUGUUCCCAACGACAGUCCCCGGGAAACCUCAAGACUUUGGGCUCCGGGGGAAUUACGGAUGCAAAGAUGAAUUUUAAAGACAUUCCGGGACGGGCAACACCAGGAGUGCAGACCAUGGCAUAAUUCGACUCAACACGAAAAAGACGGUGGUGGUAUUUCACUGUCGACAAGCCUUGAAGGACCGGUCUCCCACUUAUCCUACACCCGUUAUGUUUCUUCAUGAAGUCAGGCUAGAGUCAAGCUCAACAGAGUCUUCUUUCCCCGCUAAUUCGGCCGAACCCCUUGCCUUGGCUGUUGUUUCGCUAGAUAGUAGAUAGGGGCAGUGGGAAUCUCGUUAUUCCAUUCAUGAUCGUCAAUAAUUAGAUGACGAGGCAUUUGGUUAUAAUAUGUAAUUUUGUCAAACAUGGGUCAAAUUGAGCUGUUCUGACAUAGCGUUUGGCAAGCGCUAUACACGGUACAGUAAUGAGGUCACCCAAAAGGAAUAUAUUUGUGCUUUCGCGAAAUGGUGGUGCGAGUCCGUGGCAUAGUGCAUGUGCGUGGGCGUGGAAUGUGUUGGAUUGAGAAAUAGAGUUAAGUAGUACCUCUCAUGUAUCG